GAAAGGCCUCUUGAAAGUUUCUUUUUCUCCUGGGAGGCAGUUAUAACCGGGGCCCUCUGGUUAAUACUGGAAAAACCCUGAGUGACAAAUCCAGCCGCCUAGGAGUUUUCCUCUCCCUCCUGUUCAGAUGUGCUGGGUGUUAAGAGUUCUCUGGCACAAUAGAGAAGCAGAGGGAAAGAGAAAAUGAAAGUGGCCUUUUUAUAUGAGGACCUGGAGAGGAACCCACAACCUGCAGGGUUUGGCUUUCUACUCCCACUGGAUCCAGAAGAGCAGAAGGCUUCCUUCUGCCCCAUGUCUACUGCAGUGCCAGGCGUCACGGGAGCUGUGUUGUGGAUUUACCCUCUGGCAUGGCAUCAGUGAGCACUUGUUCAUCCUGCAGUAAAUAUUACUGAGCGCUCCAUUUAUUCUAGGCUUUGUGCUGAGACCUGGACUUUCUCACAACACUGCUGCCCCUGCUCCCGGGAAGGCAUCCUGAGACAGGCAGAAGAGAGGUGUUGUGCGUGCCAUUCCACAGUGCGUCCCACAGCCCUGUUGGUGUCCUGGCCUUCACACAUGCCUUUCUUUCUGUUGGUAACUUCCACUAACCUUAAUGCAAUGCUCCGAUAGUUUGUAUAAGUGAGAAUAUUUGCAGCGUCUUCUCCCAAGAAGAGAUCCAGAAAUUUCUCUGUCACUGUUCCUAUCUCGAGGUGGUUGUUCCUCCUCUCCUUUAUCACAAUCUCACCCUUAAUAACCUGUAACAUGUGCAUUAAACAAAGUCAUAAAUUUUUUUAAAAUCAGUACCGGGGAUUGAACUCACGACUCUACAAGCUUGCAGGGCAGGUGCUUAUGCCACUGAGUUCUAAAUCCCCAGCCCCUAACCCCCUUUUUUUGAAUCAAAGUCAUAAAUUAAACACUAUAUAAAAUAGUAAGAGAAAAAAAUGAGAUAAAAGGAAACUUGGUCACUUUAUAAAAAUAUAUUCAUAGGAAAAAGUACACGUAGCUACUCCUGUCCAGUUUUUGCAACUGAUGAUGAAGAAUGUUUAAGUUUCAUUAUGGCCGACUCCAUGACUGUGCCAUAUUCCUGUCAAUCCCACAAGAGCCUUGCUAUGCAGUUCUGGCUGGCCUCGACUCAAGGCAAUCCUGCCUCAGCCUCCUGAGUCCUGGGAUUUCAGAUGUGCACCACCAUGCAUGAUUCUAUUGGUGUACUUUAGAUAUACAUGAUCAUCACCUUCAUCAUGGAGAAUCUGAACUUGAAUUAGAACUUUUUCCCCCUCCCAUGCCCUCUCUGUCACCCCUCCCUCCCCUCCUCCUUUUUUAGUGUUUUGAGAUAGGGUUUGCUGUGUAGUGCAGGUUGGUUGUGAACUGCCUCAGCCUCCUGAGUGCUGAGGUUACAAGUGAUUCCUGGCUCAAGAUUGUAUCUUUGAACUCAAUAAUCCGUUUCAGUCUACAUUUGCCCCUGCUGUAGUCAAGGUAAUUCCAUGUAUAGACACAGACACCUGACUGUUCCUCAUGUGUCCUAGGAGGCUUGUGCCUAACCUACUCAUACAAUGAGAUAAUAUCUUCAUUUUUUCUGUAUGGUACUGUUAGAAUUUUAUAUGAUUAAAAAUAAUAUGUACAAA